AAAAAAUCCUAUUUUCUCUAUAACCUUCCUGUACUAUUCUAUUUUGGAACUUGAGAAUCAAUAACUGGCUUGGAAAUGAGCUCAUUGUCCUUAACUUUUGCUUUAUUGAUUCACGAUAUACUUAUUGAAAUGUAAUAAACUAUUCAUAAACUUGCAAAGCCCAAUUUUUCUCAGAGCUUCUCCAAGGAGAUGUAUAUGUCUUUCAAAAAAGAUUAUAUUACCUAUUCUAAAUCAUUUUGAUUUUUAUGUCUAGGUAAAAUGCUGACUCACAGCCCUAGAUUGCUAUUUUAUAGUUUAGGCAAUUUUUUAAAAAGUCACUUGAGAUUCUUCUGGAGAACAGCAAUUUCAAGUGCAUGAAGGGGUAUUAAGCAGAAGGUGAUAACCUACUUUGCUUCAUUUUCAGGGAAGCUACAAGAGGGAAGAGACAAAAGAAAUAGUGGAUAUGAAAAUAACUUCAUCUUGGCUUUCUGUGGCUCUUCUGGCCCAAAGUGCUUUAAAAAAAUCAUAGAUAUGCAUAAAUAUAUGUUUAUGUAUACCUUAACUUCACAGUAUAUCUUAGGAGGAUAGCAUUAUAGAAAGACAAUGCUUAAUUUCCGCAAGAUCAUACAAUAGGAGGAGUAAUUUCCAUCUUCUAACUUUUCUUGUUAAAAUUAAAUUCAUCUUGGGCUGGGGAUUUAGCUCAGUGGUUCCACCACCUGCCUUGCAAGUGCAAGGACCCAAGUUCAAUCCCCAGUACCAAAAAAAAAAUUUUAAAUCAUCUUGAUAAAGUCUUAGGAUCUCACAGAGUAGAUCACUUAGAAAAGGAUAGCAAAUAAAUUCUUUUAUUUACUAAGUUAGGUAAGUUUGCACCUAAUUUAUGUACUUUUUGCCUGUGUUUUUCUAAGAUCUUAGGAUACAAGUAACAUUUUCAUUCUGAAGCCACAUCUUGGUGACAACUUUAAAUGUGUAUUUAUACUGCUAAUCUCUUAUUUGUCCUUCUUCCUAUUUUUCUUAUCUUUAACCCCUUACUGCAGACUGUGUCCAAGGCAUGGUGACACACAUCUAUAAUCCCAGCCCUUUGGGAGACUGAGGCAGAAAGAUCACAAGUUCAAACCCAGCCUGGGCAACUUAAUAAGACCCUGUCUCAAAAGGCCUGGGAAUGUAGCUCUGUGUGAAAGCCCUGGGGUCAACCACCAGUAGCAAAAAAGGAAAAAAAGAGGGCAAGGGAGUGAAUGUAGGGAAAGAAGAGAAGUAGAGAGGAAAUAGGGAGGGAAGGGAACAAAGUGUGAAAGGCCAGUGGAGACUAGAGAUACCAGAGGCAGAGAGAGAACAAGAAAAGUUCAUUCAUUGCUAAGCAAACAUACUUUGAAGAUGUAAAUAGGCAGUGACAAAAUCAGUGCCAAAAACUGAAGAAAAAUUGGAUAACACAAGGACUGAGAGACCUCUGGCCUACCAGUGAGGUGUUUUCAGAGUUUAUGAGGAAUUUGGGUAUUUGCAAUGGCUGACAGUAGGGAUUCUUAAUCUUUUAUCUAUGAAGUGUCUCAAAGUGUGUCAGUGGGCCACUUUGAUCAGAAACACCUGGGGAGCCUGUUAAAAAUGCAGUUUUCUGGAACCAUUCUAAAGAUUCUAAGUUAGAAUCUUAGGAAUCAAAGUUCUGUUUUGUCCCAUAACUCCCUUCCAGGUGAUCCUUGUGAACACUGGAAUCUCAGAGCCAUUGUUAUGCAGAAUAAAGCCCAAAUUGCUGAGAGGCUGGUCUCAGGGCUUUAUAACCUGGCUCCAGCUCAACUUUCUAAUCUUUUCUCCCACUAGUCUCCUACAGAAAUUCUAGUACAGCUCUAAGUAUAUUUUUCUUAAGUAAUCCCCUUACCUAAAUUACCUUCUGCUCUCUAAGUCCACCGUCAUUCAAAUCUAGCCCAAGUCAGUCUCAUGGCCCCACAGUAAUUUUCCCUGCCUCUGUCUUUCUUGGCAUUAUGGUUGUGCCACUCUUGACACUGUGAUGUGUCUUAUGAGAUUGAGUACUUUGUAUUUUUUGUAUAUUUCUAUAUCUUGAUUGUAAGAGUGUAAAUAAUAAUGUGAAGAGACAGAAUAAUAAUGGACAGACAUAAUAAAGUGUAAACUUUUUAUCUUCCACAGUUUCCAUAGUGCUGGGCCUGUUCACGCUUAGUUCUCAGUGAAUGUUAUCUGAAUUAAUUUGGAUAUAUGUCAGUGAGCAGAAUACUCCUCUUGAUUUUGGUUGAGUAUUGCUACUAGUUCACACAUAGAUUUCUUGGUUAAGGAAUACAGGUUGGGUAUGCAAGAGGCAAGUUUAAUACAGCUACAUUUUGCUUUUAUAUAUAAUACCAGAAAAGUUGGGUACAAGCUAAAAGGAAGUGCUUUUGAGUACUUCAACACAAAUAUGGGCAUUAUUGUUUCUAUUUUAUUAUUGUAUUAUAUCAAAUGUUCACUUUACAUUUUCUAAGGUUCACUACAGAAUCUAAUAGAAUGCAACUGCAUUUUCGUAAGAGCUCUAUACCUAAAAUGGUCUUCAAAAAGCAAACUAUUCUUAAAGUGCAAAAAUGAAAAGUUGUUUCAUUUAAGAUAACCUGUAUGUGAGUCUUUCAUAAAAUAAACUUUUUUUGA
ensembl:lncRNA